rnacentral:lncRNA from 1 species
CUCUCUCUAGCCUUGGACGCCACCCGCUCUCAACUCCUCCACCCAUUUGCAGCCGCCACCCACCUCCCCUCCAUCAAACCCUAGCCGCCCCUCCUCAAGCCCUUCUCUCCAAGGUGCCAUUCCUUUCCCGCUCGGAUCUACGUCGCGUUGGUGCAAGUCUCCCGGUGGUUUUUGGUGGAGGGAAGAAGAAGGGAGGAAAGGGGGGAUUUAAGGUGAUUUUUGUGUUUGUAUCUUGUUUAAUUGUGCUGCAAUACAAUCAAUUAUAUGUUUAUCUAUGCGAAUCGGUAGAGGUGCUGUCCAGAAAUUUCGUAGGUGGGCGAACAACAGUAGUAGUAGCAGUUUCUGGGGAUUUUUCGUGGGAAAUUAGUGGUAAUAAAUAUGAGAAUCAUGUAGAGCUUUGUCAUACCUUUCCAACGGGUACUUAUGCGCUCGAUUCGGAAUUAUAUUUUAAAAGAUAUCGGUGUUUGAAUCUGGGUAUGUUGCUGUCCAAAAAAACAGAUUUCUGCAGGUGGGCGAACAGCAGUAGUAGUAGCCGUUUCUGGGAUUUUUCGUGGGAAAUUAGUGGUAAUCAAUAUGAGAAUCAUGUAGAGAUUUGUCAUACCUUUCCAACGGAUACUUAUGCGCUCGAUUCGGAAUUAUAUUUUAAAAGAUAUCGCUGUUUGAAUCUGGGUAUGUUGCUGUCCAAAAAAACAGAUUUCUGCAGGUGGGCGAACAGUAGUAGUAGUAGCAGUUUCUGGGGAUUUUUCGUGGGAAAUUAGUGGUAAUCAAUAUGAGAAUCAUGUAGAGAUUUGUCAUAUCUUUCCAAUGGGUACUUAUGCGCUCGAUUCAGAAUUAUAUUUUAAAUGAUAUCGCUGUUUGAAUCCGGGUAUGUCGCUGCCCAAAAGAAGAAAAAACAGAUUGCAGGGUUGACCUUUUGAACUGUUUUGGGCUAAUUAGAUGUUGAAAUUUAAUUAUAAAUUGUAUACAAAACUUGUGGGGAAUUUUAUGUAGAUGCCUUUGGAGUUUUUGUUUGUUACCACUGCUGUCAUAAUUUUAAAGUUAUGAAAUUGUUAAGCAGCGCCGCUGCAGUUUGGUGGGUGUUGGGAGAUUUGUUACCCGCUGCGGGGUUUGAGAUUGUGCGUAGGUGCGGCGUCGUUUAUGAGCGUUAUUAUGUGAAAUUGGUGCACUAAGUUGUGUGUCAAAAGCAGGUGGUGGACUUCCGGAUCGUACUUAGGGAUUUGCCCAAACUUCUAGUGAAGGCAAGUAAAACAGUAAUGGUUAUUCCGUCUGUCGAUUAAAGAGUCUUAUACUUGAUUAUGUUUGUGCCAUUUGUGUUCGUAUUCAUAUUACUAAUUGAGUACCAUCGUUUGAAGAUAUUCAUGUUUGUGGUUUGAUCAUGUUACCCAUGUGGUUUAUUAUGUGGAAUGGGUGGAAGUAUAUGUCUAGCGCAUUUUAUUUGGGAAGGACUCAUGUUGUUGACAUGCAUAAUGCAUUCAUCAUCCAUUGCAUGGAAGUUUCGUCGCGAUCUUAUGGUCCGACCGUACCGGUAUAAUGAGCAUCAUAUGUUGCCCGAGAAGGGGUAUGAUGCAGCUUCAUAACCUUAGAGGUAUGAAGGCAGAAGUCAUUACUGCAUCUGUAGCCAUGUGCAUUCAGGGGUGAAGUGUGGAACCUAUUAUGUGGAUGUGGAUAGUGUAGAUCUUUACCUUGUGCUUCAUCUUGUAACUAAGUAAUUGGUUACAUGUUUACUUGCUGCAAAUUACUAUUCAAGAAGGAAGUUGUGAACUAUGUGGUUGUUUAAUUACGGUUUGUUUACAUUGUUCAGUUGUUGUUUGCUCUUUUUACUUGCUGAGAUGUGCCAUCUCACUCUUGUAUUGUCUAAUGCAGGCACAUAAUCUUUCCUUUGGGAAAAGAAGGGAUGUAGUAGCACGACCACUACACCUUUAAAUAAAGGAACCAGUGCUUAAUAAUGAUGUUAAACAGGGAGGGUCUAAUCUGA